CAAAAAUGGUGGUGAGGAAUGAAGAGAAUGGAGAAGAUUGAAGGCGUGAAGGGUGAAGAAGAAGGGCCUCCGAGAUUGAAGGUUGAUGUUUCUGUUAUAUAGAGUGUGAAGAGCCGAAUAUUGAGAAUCUGAGCUUCAAGCUUUGGAGUACUGAACCGACUUAUAUAUUGCUGCAGAUUUUAUUUGUAUGAUGGAGUUAGCCGGUCUUGGUAUUUUGUCACUGCGGUUCAGCUUCGGUUUAUAAGUGCAAGGUGGAGUUUGGACUGAUAUAGUGCGGGUUGAACACAUGGUUACUUGGGAUGGUUGAGUGGAUUUGCGCCUUUGAAUUCAAUCCGUAGCUUGUUCUUCUUAUUUUCUGUUAAGUGAAGUGUAAGCUGGUAUGUGAUUCUUGAAAGUGAAGCAAUUUGGAACUUGAAGGUCACCCUGAAGUUGAAGCUUGAAGGCUGAGGCAAGGA